UAGGUACUCUCUCCGUCCAAAAAUACUUGUCAUCAAAAUGGAUAAAAAGGGAUGUAUUUAGAACUAAAAUACAUCUAGAUACAUCCUCUUUUAUUCAUUUUGAUGACAAAUAUUUCCGGACGAAGGGAGUAUGUA
rnacentral:pre_miRNA from 1 species